UACGAAGGGGGGCUAGCGUUGCUCGGAAUCACUGGGCGUAAAGCGCACGUAGGCGGAUUGUUAAGUCAGGGGUGAAAUCCUGGAGCUCAACUCCAGAACUGCCUUUGAUACUGGCGAUCUCGAGUUCGGGAGAGGUGAGUGGAACUGCGAGUGUAGAGGUGAAAUUCGUAGAUAUUCGCAAGAACACCAGUGGCGAAGGCGGCCCACUGGCCCGAUACUGACGCUGAGGUGCGAAAGCGUGGGGAGCAAACAGG
rnacentral:rRNA from 1 species